rnacentral:rRNA from 1 species
UACGUAGGGGGCGAGCGUUGUCCGGAUUCAUUGGGCGUAAAGCGCGUGCAGGCGGCCUGGUAAGUCGGCCGUGAAAGCGCCAGGCUUAACCUGGCGAGGUCGGGCGAGACUGCUAGGCUGGAGGCCGGUAGAGGGCGGUGGAAUUCCGGGUGUAGUGGUGAAUGCGUAGAGAUCCGGAGGAACACCAGUGGCGAAGGCGGCCGCCUGGGCCGGUCCUGACGCUGAGACGCGAAAGCGUGGGGAGCAAUCCGG